GGGAUGUCUGCUGGCACGUCUGUAAAUGUGAAGAAAACUACUUUUAUGAAUGUCACACACAGUAUGUAAAUGAGCUUCAAGAAGUCACCAGGCAUGCGGCCUGCUGAAGUAGUCAUGGCACCUCAGGCUCUAAUCACAUCUAUCCAAGCAUGAUUGACACUGACAUCAGGCCCUGACUGAGCUGCUCAAUCAUACCUAGCAUUUUUAUAGCUGGCAUAGGUGUGAUUACAGUCCGGGGAGCCAUGACUACUUCAGCAGCCGCACGCCCAACUGACUACUUAAGCUUCACUUACAUACUGAGUUUGAUAUUGAUCAAAGUAGUUUUUUCCACAUUUUUAGAUGUACCAGCAGACAUCCAGGCAUUGUAGGAAACAUGAUAUUAACCUGAUUUUAACCCCUGGUGUAUGUCCCCCGCCUCCCUCCCUCCAUCUGCUUUUGUUACCUGCAAUGCUGUAAUAAAGCUCCGUUGCCGUUGGACCAGGCUUUGUAAAAAAUCUGGACAACAGUUCCUGUUCCCCUCGUAGCCAAGUACUGGCCUUAGUGUUGACAGACAUCAGGUAGCAGUUGGCUGAACAGGGUUACAUUAUGAUGUUUCGGGCCAUGUAUAGCAUUCUAGCAUCAGCAAUCAUAUGAAUCAAUUGUGAACAGAUCCUCCACAUAAACAAAAAAAUUGCAGGGGACAGUUGGAGUACAUCUAAGCCCAGGAGAAUCCUGUGUUAAUGCAGCCUACGUGUCAGUAACUUCCAGGUAUUACAAGGAAAGGUAAAACAGUAAAAGAGAAGCGUUACACCCUCUAACAUUUCUGCAUGAACAGUAUCUGAACACACUAAGCACAGGGGACAUCCUACCCAAUUGUUGUAGGUUUUCUGUAAUAAAUGCU